rnacentral:rRNA from 1 species
UACGAAGGGUGCAAGCGUUACUCGGAAUUACUGGGCGUAAAGCGUGCGUAGGUGGUUUUUUAAGUCCGUUGUGAAAGCCCUGGGCUCAACCUGGGAAUGGCAGUGGAUACUGGAAAGCUAGAGUGCGGUAGAGGGUAGUGGAAUUCCCGGUGUAGCAGUGAAAUGCGUAGAGAUCGGAAAGAACACCAACGGCGAAAGCACUCUGCUGGGCCGACACUGACACUGAGAGACGAAAGCUAGGGGAGCGAAUGGG